AUUCAUCUUCUUCAGCCGUUUUCAAUAUAGGAACACCCCAAAAACAGACCUCAUCCCAACGUCAUCCCUCUCUAAAACAAAACUAGCAACAACCAACGUUCACAUGUUCCGCCAUGAAUGGCCACCCCUAAGAGAAAAUCUAGCCACUCUCACUUCAGCUUCCUCAUUCGAGAUGUUGCUUUGCCGGAAUUGAUCACCGGCGAGUGACGACGCCACUAGCGACGGAUCUAGCUGGAAACCCCAAAAACACAGCCGUGAUUCUAUCACAUAUACAAAAAAAGAAAAAUAUUCUAGUUUUUUUCUUCCAUUUUUCUGACUUUCACCUCAAAAAUCAGAGUUGUUGUCCUCUGAUUUUCGUUCCAGAAUGAAGGUCAUUUGAUGUCGUGUAUGGCUUCAAAUUUUCUUGUACCGAUUCAAGGUUCUGUCAAGGUCCGUGUUCGAGAGUCCUGUCCAAUUUGAGUUCCGAUCGUGGUUGUGGUUUGUUUCCAUCCGUGUAACUGCUGGAAUUUUUAUUAAUUGAAGGCAACUUGAGAUACUGAUACCGGAGCGUUUGGACAGCAGUGAGGGUGAUGUCUUCAGUCCACACAGGCGAUCCGAGGUAGUCCUGCAGACGUCCGCAGGCCUUGGCAUCUCCUCCUAUCUUUUCUUUUUCUGUUUUUACUUAUUCAGAGACAGACUUAUGUAUUUCAUUCAAACCUUGUUUGUAGUAUUCUUAGACAGUCUGUGACUUGUGACACCAAAUUCUGGAUAGUUUUGUACUUCAAAUUAUGUAGCAGUGUUUGGUUGGAAUAUUAAGUUUUGGCUUCCGCAUUUCCGAUUGUUUAA